GUUUUCUUCUCAUAUGCCUCAAUAGUAGUGGUAUUAGCGGAAACCAAGGAUAUGUGCAUGAUCAGAAAUCCCAGAACACUCAAUGCAAAUGCCAGAUUCAAAACAAAGGCAAGAAAUGUGGUUGCAAGAGUCCCAGGUGUGCCAGGAAUUUCACCAUCGCUAAAGAAUGCUAUAAAGUGUGGCAGCAGCGACAAAGUCACAAGACUUGUCUCAAGAAA
rnacentral:misc_RNA from 1 species